rnacentral:lncRNA from 1 species
GAAAAAUCUCUCAAAAAAUAGAGAGAGUGUAUUGUAGCAACUCCUUUGUAAUUCCUCAAAUUUUAUAAGAAAAUUUUCAUAUUUCUCUUAGCUAUUUCUUUCUACACCCAACAAGAGCACCAUCAAAGCACAAGGCAAGAUCGACCUGAAUCAGAACACUGAAAUUUCGAUCCAAAACUGCACCAUUUUGCCUGCAGGCAAUCUCACUGGAGUCAACACAUUCUUGGGGAGGCCCUGGAAAAAUUACACCACUACUGUUUAUAUGCAUAGCACGAUGGGAAAUUUCAUUCUUCCAAAGGGGUGGUAGCCAUGGGUAGGCACAAGUGCAUCAGGUACCAUAUUUUAUGCUGAAUUCCAGAACUUUGGCCCCGGAGCUGUGUCCAGAAAUAGGGUCUAUUGGACAGGAUCGAAGCUUAAUAUUACUACCAAGCAGGCUGAAAAGUUUACGGUUAAUUCAUUAAUUCAUGGGCAGAAAUGGCUUCCAGAUGCAGGUUUUGGCUUCAAAUCUGGUCUUUGAGACUGACACUAGCAAGCUUUUUGAAGUUCUCCAUGUUAACAUUUUUUUUUUUUUUAUUUGUAUUGUCUAUUUUGUUAUUUCUUCUCUUCUUUUUUCCACCAUGUUAUACUUGUAACCAGUUGAUUUGAAAUCCAAAUUGAUACAAUUUUAUCUGAUU